CAGCCGCCGCGGGAAUACGGAGGGUGCAAGCGUUAUCCGGAUUUAUUGGGUUUAAAGGGUCCGUAGGCGGAUCUGUAAGUCAGUGGUGAAAUCUCACAGCUUAACUGUGAAACUGCCAUUGAUACUGCUGGUCUUGAGUAAAUUUGAAGUGGCUGGAAUAAGUAGUGUAGCGGUGAAAUGCAUAGAUAUUACUUAGAACACCAAUUGCGAAGGCAGGUCACUAAGAUUUAACUGACGCUGAUGGACGAAAGCGUGGGGAGCGAACAGGAUUAGAUACCCCUGUAGUCCCUGUCUCUUUACA
rnacentral:rRNA from 1 species